UCAAACGGUAACUGGAGCAGGGAAACGCCCGAUCCCAUUCCGAACUCGGAAGCUAAGCCUGCUCACGACAUGUUGGUACUGCCCUCGGGUGGGAAGGCAUGUUUCUGUUUGGC
rnacentral:rRNA from 1 species